rnacentral:lncRNA from 12 species
CAGCAUGGUUAUUUUAUUUAUUUAUUUUUUAUUUUUUGCAGUUCAUUCAUUGUAUACAUUACUUCAUUUAACAAAACAAACAUAGUACAAACAGUAUGGUGUCCACAAAAUGUAGCCUGUGAAUCUGCAGUUUUGUGUUUGGACGCUCUAAGGCUAACUCUCUGUUUGGGUGUGGGUCAUUUUCUUAUCUUUCUGCAGGUGGAGGCCUGACAGACGUGCCAGUCCUGCUGCCAAUUGUCCUCCGCCUCAGCCUGCAGACAUGGCUUAAUACUCUCACACACAAACACACACUCAUGCAGACUUACACAUGCAUACUUAUUUCAACCUCAUCUUUAAAAUCACUCAAAUCAUGCACCCGUGCCACAAACACAAAUACUCACCCACCUACACAGGCUGCUGAAAGCACGCAUGAUUGCCAGCCUGUCAGUCACAUCAUAUGUCAACUAUCUCCCAUGAUUCCCAGGCUGUCACACAUGAUCUCACACAGACCUGUUUGUGCAUUAAGAACAUCAGACAAGAAUGCAGAUACUCUAAGUAAUACGUAGAGUUAGGUCUUAUACCACCAUGAUGGCACAGUUACUGGUCCACCCCACUUCUAUAUUUAAAUGGAUUGAGCUCAACAAAACAGGUGAGCCAGACGUGUAUAUUCAGUGUUCAUUUGAUAUCACUCUGUUUGUCUUGUGUGUAAAGGGUUUCUGUUCCUGUUUGCUUUUGUUAGGGACACUGAGCCCCCCUCUUACCGGGAUCAUCUGUCUGCCUGGUGGACGAGCUGCGUCCUGCCCACUGCACCCAAUUCACAUAGAAAUUUACUCAAAUACUACAGCCUGGGAAGCGUGGGACCGCGGCCAGGCAGCAGCUGCUGACCGGCCAGUGCUGACCUGUGCGCUUAGGCGAACUGGAUUUCACCACACGCCCACCGGCCUGGCCCUGCAUACCUCCACAGGCGGACAGCGGUUAUGUGUGUCCCAGCAUGCCCAGUGUAGCCACGUGGACAUGGAUGCAUGGAAGUGUUCAAACAACAAAAGCAAAAAGGAAAAUACAGUCAGAUCAGUGUAAUUUUUAUUGGUGGUCCUAAAAGAGAAGAAUAAAUCUGUACUAAAUAUAAAAAUUAUUGUUUAGUGUUUACAUGAACAUUUGUAUAAAAUAUAACUGACUAAAUACUUACAGUGUACUUAUUUAUUAAUGAAUUCUGUACUUUAUUUCGUUCAUUUUCAACAACUUGAUUUUUCAACCAUUUUUUUCAUUAUUUAUCCCUGUAUUGUUGUAUGAGACAGUAGAAAAUAUGGGUCAUUUUUAAAAAAUAGUUUGCAAAUGAGUGUAAAACAUGGUACAUUUUAAAAGAGAGGAGUUUAUACACAUCUAUCUGUCCACCGCUUUUUAUUUCCCUACAGCCAUUGAGAUUCCACUCUUGCCUCUUGGCUUUGGCCCACUGUGGUUGCCAUGGCAACCAGUAAAUUGGUUAGCAGGAUGAGUAAUGAUAUGACGUGGUGGAAAUGGAAGGUCCCAACAAAGAACUUAUUACAGCAGCAACUUUUUAUAACUUUCCAUUGUUGUCAAGUGCUCCUGAUAUUAACCUGCCUCUGCCAGGGUUCCCCGGGCCUGAAACAGUGCGUGUGCAUAUUGUCAAGUCUCCAGAGAGAAAAAAGAGUGAAAGAGAGAAAGGGCAAUGGGAGGAGGGCAGUAUCUCUCUCUUCAUCCCCCUCUCUCUCUUCUCAUCACCUUAACAAUUUCUGGGCUAUAGGACGUGCAGAACACUUGUUAAUUCACUUUCGGUUUACCACAUUUCCGCAAAAAUAUAAAGCAGCACACCUGCUUUAAAAUCAGCAUAUUAGAAUGGUUUCUGAAGGAUCAUGUGACACUGAGUAAGGUCAUAGUACUCACUUGUGAAAAUCCUUGUGAAGAAUCCACACGAGCAGCUUACAAGGUAAAAGAGCACUGAGAGAGAGGUAGAUUAGGGGGAAGUGAUAGAGCUGGCACAGGAUGUUUGAGUGUUUGCUCUUGCUUUAACAACAUCCUCUGUGCAGACACCCAGGCAGGCAGUCAGAUGGGGUCGGAGAUAGAAGACUGCAGUCGGCCUGGUCUGCUGCCUGACCCAUUGUUUUACUUAUCUCUGUCCUGGCCUAUCUGCUGAGCCAGGGGCUAUUGAAGAGUGGGCAGGGGGAUGGAUGACCACUGAUAAUAAGACAAAGACAAGUGCUCCUGCUUCAUUCAGAAACUGCAGGGAAGUACUGGCCCUAAUUAGUAGAUCAACAUAUUGGUGCUCAAUUAUCCAAUUCCAGGUCGAAUUGGGUUGGGAUGUAGGCCUGCCUGUUGGAAGAUGUGCAAGUAUGUGCAAGAUUUAAACUUGGAG